CAGUCUCUAUGUAUGUCUCAGUGAGGGGAAACUGCAGCACUUACACAGUCUGUUCUCUCUCAGUAAGAAUUCACUGUUCUCUUUCUGCCACAUGUCUCUUUCUUCACCCACUCACCCACAAAACCCCUUGCCAUCCUCUGCUCUUGAUGACCUCCUCCUUGGUGAGAAAGAGAGCAUAGCAGUCAUAUUGAAAAAGGCAAACAAACACUGCAUAACAGGAGUAUACACUCGGCAAAUGUGCAAAGAAAUUAUCACAUCACUAAAACUGUAUUAGGAUACAGAGAACAUACACACGCAGCACAUGGCCGUGCUCGCACUACGAGACAUUUCUCGGGCUGCAUUUCCCCUGAGCUCUACAAGGUGGUGAUCUUCUCACUUCCACCCAGACAGGAAGUCUUUAUGGAAGACAGGAAGUGAUGUCACAUAUAGAAAGGAAGUUCAGGGUGAGAGGUGAGUCGGGAGGAAGUCGAGUGGAGACAUUGUUGGACCUGGUAGUAGAGGAGAGUGGAAACAUCGGGGAUGAUAAUAUUGUGGUUAAAUAAGAGUAAAAAGAGGAGUAUGAGGAGUAUGGAGUGAUGAAGCAGCUUUCUGAAGAACACAAGGACAUCAUGAUUGAGCAAUCAAGUAACAGAAACCCACCAGAGAGAUGUCCCCGUCCUCUGUAUUCCCGGGAUUACACACAGGAAGGUCACACCAUCUCCCACCAUCAUCAGAGUGGAAACCUUGAGGAUUAUAAUAGUGUUAUUAAAGAAGAGUACAAGCAAGAGGACGAGGAAUAUGGUGUAAUGAAAGAGCUUUCAGGACACAAGGAUAUGAUGGAGCUGCCUAAUAAUAGAAACCCACCAGAGAGAUGUCCCCGUCCUCUUUAUUCCCGG